AUUGAACGCUGGCGGCAGGCCUAACACAUGCAAGUCGAACGAGUGGCGGACGGGUGAGUAAUGUCUGGGAAACUGCCUGAUGGAGGGGGAUAACUACUGGAAACGGUAGCUAAUACCGCAUACCAUCGGAUGUGCCCAGAUGGGAUUAGCUAGUAGGGUGGGUAACGGCUCACCUAGGCGACGAUUCCUAGCUGGUCUGAGAGGAUGACCAGCCACGCUGGAGCUGAUACCAGGGCCAGAUGCCGACGGGAGGCAGCAGUGGGGAAUAUUGCACAAUGGGCACAAGCCUGAUGCAGCCAUGCCGCGUGUAUGAAGAAGGACUUCGGGUUGUAAAGUACUUUCAGCGGGGAGGCGUUACCCGCAGAAGAAGCGCCGGCUAACUCCGUGCCAGCAGCCGCGGUAAUUC
rnacentral:rRNA from 1 species